UUGGCUUGGUCAAGUCAGUGUUCAAACUAUUUCCUGCUCUUUCAAGGGGAUCUGGGGCCCUAGAAG
rfam:Nomascus leucogenys chromosome 22a, whole genome shotgun sequence.